AUCGCACAGAAGCAAAGAUAUGAUCAAUAUUGCUGAGCCGCUUCAGAUGAUACGUAUGGAUUUCUACGGAUCAGUUAAUGUCAUGUCUACAACAAAGCCAAAUAUCUUUUUGCGAAGAUCACUGACUACUCUAGAUUCUUUCGUGUUGUUCGUAUGUGUUCGAAGGACAAGACGUCACAAAUGAAGGUUGAUCAAGAUGAACCCUGAUCAUUGAUAAAUCCAGAAAGACACCAUUCUUUCCAGUGAUCAAUCAGAAGCAAACACUAACUCUUGGUAUGUGUUUGGAGGAAAAUGCCUCUUUGC
rnacentral:lncRNA from 1 species